GGAGAUGAUGCUUAAUUGGAAGAGUGUUUGCCUUGAAAGCAAAAGUAUUUUGAGUCUCUACAUUUUAGAUGCUGGGCGUGGUGGCACACCUGUCACUCCAUCACCA
rnacentral:tRNA from 1 species